UCCGUGACAAGCGCCUCGUGAUCGAAAAAUCCCUGAACGAUACAGACGCAACACAUGUUUCGUUAAUCGUGAUUAAUACUAUUUUUGUUUUAAAAGAAGUUUUAGGAAUGGGCAAGAAGAAGCUUAAGCCAGUGGCUGAUCAGGUCCGGCAGAAAAGGAAGCACCUCGUGAAGAAGACCAAUCCAUUUGAGGUGAAGGUCAACCGAAAGAAGCAUGACGUCCUCGGGAGGAAAGCUGGCAAGUUUGAACGCGGCAUGCCAGGAGUGUCCAGGUCUAAAGCAAACAAACGGCGUAAGAUGACUCUUCUGAAGGAAUAUGAACACCAGUUUAAGUCCAACAAGUUUGUGGACAAACGUUUUGGUGAGCACGAUGCCUCUCUGACGCUGGAAGACAAAAUGAUGAAAAGAUUUGCUCUGGAACGCUCUCGUACAACAACGAAGAGCAAGUUCAAUCUAAAUGACGAGGAGGAGCUAACCCACUACGGCCAAUCGCUGGCAGACAUUGAGAAGUUUGACGAGCCGGUGAUAAGCGAUGCAGAGGAAGAAGAUGAUGAAGAAAAACGUGCUGCAGCUAAGAUUGUUGCUGAGCAGCAUUUCGGUGGGUUUAUGAAGAAGAGAGAUCCCGAGGAAGAGAAGAAAUCUUGGAAAGAAAGAAUGGAAGAGAUGAUUUCAGAAUCAAAGAAAAAGAAGUUUGAACGACAGAUGGAAAAAGAGAAGACUGUACAGAUGACUGUAGAACUUGAUGAACAAUGGCGCUCGUUGCAUAAUCUUAUGAGAACAGCCAGACUGAAGAAGCAACCCGAGGAGAAUGUUACAGCUACAGGGGCUGAUGAUUAUGACAUGGCGGUCCGUUCCCUGCAGUUUGAAAUGAAAGGAAAGCCCUCAGAACGUUUGAAGACAGAAGAAGAGAUUGCCAGAAUUGAGAUGGAAAGACUGGAGAAGCUUGAGGCAGACCGGGUUCGCCGGAUGAAGGGUCUGACAGAGGGGCCCGUGUCCCGCCAAGCUGGACACCGGUCAGCAGAUGACCUUGACGAUGGAUUUUUACUGGAACCGAAGCUGGAUUUUGAUUACAUUAGUUACAAAGAUGGAAAACUGCUACAGGAAAUACCCCAGAAGAAAGAUAAACAAUCAGCUGAGAGUGAUGAAGAUGAUGAGGAGGAUGAGGAAGAAGAAGAUCAUGAAGAAGACGAUGAUAAUGAUGAUGAGGAGGAAGAGGAAGAAGAGGAGAAAGAUAACAUUGAUGAUAUAAAUUUAAAAAGAUUUAAAAAAGAGGAAAAGAAUGAUGGGAGGAAAAUGGCAAAGAAAACAAAAGUUGUUACUGAUGAUGACGAUGAUGUUGAUGAAGAUUAUGAUGAUGAGGAGGAGGAAGAAGAGAAUGAGGAUGAAAAUACUGAUGGUGAUGGUGAAGAGUCAGUCGAAAGUGACCACUACUCAGACGUGUUGUCAGAUGAGGAAAAAGACCCAGGGGCGGAAAUACACGAUACUAAGAGUGAGAAGUCAAAGAAAAAAGUGACAUUCAGAUCUGCUAAAAUGAUAGAAGAAGCAAAAAGAGAAUUGCCCUAUACAUUUAAAGCCCCCAAUGGUUAUGAUGCACUGUUGGAGAUGUUGGAAGGCUGUUCCAUGGAGGACCAGCUGACUGUGAUAGAGCGAAUACGCAAGUGUCAUCAUCCCAGUCUGCAGGAGGGGAACAAACAGAAACUGGAGACACUUCUCGGGCUACUGGUCCAGUUUUACUGCGACCUGUGUGUGCAGGACCCUCCACAGCUUGAGUUUGCCUCCCGUCUGCUGCCGCACAUGUACGUGCUGACCCAGAUGUCGCCCGAGAACACCGCACGGGUGUGUGCAGACAAUCUGACGGACAGACAAGAGGAGUUUGCACAGAUUUGUCAACGUAAAGCUGGUCGUGGACUAUAUCCUAGUCUAGAUACGCUGAUGUUGUUCAAGCUAGUGGCUAUCUUGUUCCCGACGUCUGACUUCCGCCAUGAGGUCACGACGCCGGCAAUGGUGUUCAUGUGUCAGAUUCUGUCACAGAGCCCCGUCAAUCAUCACAGAGAUGUGGUCGCUGGUUUGCUGCUUUGUACACUGUGUCUAGAGUAUGUCUCCUUGUCUAAGCGCUACAUUCCCGAGGCAAUCAACUUCCUGCAUGGACUGCUGUUCCUUGCAUCAGAGAAAGAGAAAAAUAAACUUGCUGAGGUGAUGCCACCAUUCAAACCUGUGGGGGACACUAUCAAUCUGCUCUGUGUUUCUGGCAGGGUAAAGAGCGAAAGUUUCUCCAAAUGGUCCUUGUCUAAGUAUCUACCACCAGUUGUUGAUGCAGACCUGUAUGAUAAUGACGAGUUUAGAGUGAAUGCAGUCCACAUGACAAUUGGCUUGAUAACAGAGUUUAUGGCGCUGUACAAAGACCUGGCGGCAUUCAGGGAGGUUUUCGCGCCAAUUCUGACGAUGUUGAAACACCUACCGUGCCAGAACUAUCCAGAAUCAUUGAAGGAGAAGAUUCAGGCAUGUAAAGAGGAAUGCGAGAAGUUUUCCAGCAAGCCUUUGAAACCCCUUGCCAUGCAGAAGAAGAAACCAAAGCCACUGAAAAUGUUUGAGCCCAAAGUGGAGGAAAAGUUUGAUGGCCGUAAGAAGGGAAUGCGUGGGACAAAAGACUUCAAUGAGAAACAGAAGUUGAUGAACCGGCACAAAAAGGAAAUGCGAGGGGCAAUGAGAGAGCUGAAAAAAGACACAAAAUUCUUGGCUCGCGAGAAAUUGCGCGAACAGCUCACCAAGGAUGAAGAGCGGAAGCGUAAAGUGCGGGAAAUUAUGGGAGGACUUGCUAAACAGGAGGGCGAUUACAAACGAAUGAAGUUGGGGCUGAAGGAACGAACAGACACUGGCAGCUGAAAGUAAAAUUGUUGAGACUGAGAGACACUGCGAAAGGGCAAUUAUUAAAACAAAUUCAGUUGGGCUUAGAGAAUGUACGGAAACUAGCAGCUGAAAGUGAAAUUGUUUUAGGGUUUAUGACCGAAAUACCAACUUGGCCAUUGACCUAUAUGUUUUUCAAAAGGAUGAAAUGAAACACGUUAUGUGAAACAUUGCCCCAGAUAAACUUGUGAAGUCCGCACAGGCUAUUCAGGGAUGACACUUUUUGCCCAACCUGGAUUUUUGCUAAGAAUAUACUUCCUUGAAACAAAAUAAAUUGAAAAGGCUGAAAGUGUUGUCACACAGGGUUUUUAGGGUGAUGUAUGUGACUGGAAUACCUACUUGGGCGUACUUUUAAUAAAAAAAUUAUACGUUAAUAUUAUCUAGAUAAAAACUCAGUGAUAAUCAACUGGUGUGUGCUUAACAUUUCUCAUAUUUGUGUCAUAGUCAGCAUAAUGCUCCAGUGACAGAUUGAGUGCAACAUGUCUAUAUCUCUGUAUUAUGAAGGGUUUUCAGUGAAAAUUAACAAUUGUCUUUUACUUCUAAAGGUGUUCAGUUAAUUAACCCUUUACUACUUAGAUACACAUAUUUAUGUUUUUGUAGUCCCUUAGAUACUAGAUAAAUGUUUUAAGGGCAUUAUUCCAACCCUUAGAUACUGAUGAGAAGCAAACAGCAUAAAACCAGAACAGACUGUGAGUUAAUUGUAGGCUGAUUGUUUUUAGGCUGUUUGCACAUACUUCAUAGCCAUUUUCACUUUGCUUCUGAGUGUCAUACAGGUGGAUCGUGAGGGAAAAGGGAAGCUGGCAACUCUGGUUUCACAAAGUGAUGAAAUAAAUAACCUAAUGUCUGUCUGCUGCAACUCAAAAAUGGACCAACUCAUUGUUGGACGAGAGCAUGACAACAGCAUUCUUGUUAUGGAACUCCAAUUCAAUAUGUAGAGACUAACUGACUCUGUAGAGCUGGGCAAGGCGUCUAUAAUCGGCCCGCUGUCCAUUUAACGGCUGUACGUUAUUGUAGAUAUAACAUAUAAUCGUGUUUUGUUCAACUUGUUUACAUAACAAGCUGUCUUUACUCUUAUUAAGAUACUUACUGACUCCGCAGAGCUUUGCAAGGCGUCUAUAAUCGGCACGCUGUCCAUUUAACGGCCUGAACGCUUUUUUAGGUCUAGUGCCGAUAAAAGACAUCGGGCCCAGCUCUGCUGUACGUUAUUGUAGAUAAAACAUAUAAUCGUGUUUUGUUCAACUUGUUUACAUAACAAGCUGUUUAUACUCUUAUUAAGACACUAACUGAAUCCGCAGAGCUUUGCAAGGCGUCUAUAAUCGGCCCGCUGUCCAUUUAAUGGCCCGAACGCUUUUUUAGGUCUAGGGCCGAUAAAAGACAACGGGCCCAGGCUCUGCUGUACGUUAUUGUAGAUAUAACAUAUAAUCGUGUUUUGUUCAACUUGUUUACAUAACAAGCUGUCUUUACUCUUAUUAAGACACUAACUGACUGUAGAGCUGGGCAAGGCGUCUAUAAUCGGCCCGCUGUCUAUUUAACGGCCCGAACGCUUUUUUGGGUCUAGGGCCGAUAAAAGACAUCGGGCCCAGCUCUGCUGUACGUUAUUGUAGAUAUAACAUAUAAUCGUGUUUUGUUUAACUUGUUUACAGAACAAGCUGUCUUUACUCUUAUUUUCAUUCAGAUGAUAACGCAAAUUAUGAUGUAUCUCUUGUGACGUAAUGUUUGUGACGCUACUACCGGUAACCGGUUUAAAGGGGCCUUUUUACAGAUUUUGGCAUUUAUUGAAGCUUGUCAUUAAAUGCUUUAUAUUGUUACAUUUAAACAGAGGACCUAAAAUCGCAAGUAAAAAACAAGAAUGCAAUUUAAAAAAAGGAAACAAAAGUAACCCUCAACUGGGCUCGAACCACUGACCCCUGGAGUCCUGGAGUAAAAAGUCUCAAGCUUAGACCACACGACCAUCCGUGCUCAUGCUAUUAGCGGAAGUAUUUUUUACUUAUAAAAGCAAUCCUCGUAGUUUCCCAAUAUAUAACGGCAACAACAGAACUUUCCAAAUUAUUCAGUCGUUUUGCGUUGCAACCAACGCUUUAUAAUUUUCAGGUUUUCAAAUCGUCAAAAGAUGCAUAUAAUGGAUAUUUUAGAGCACGGCAAAUGUUCAGUAUUACUAUUUCCUCACAAAUUUCAUAAAUAAAACGAACAUUUGCGAAUCUGAAACAACUUUUUUUAAUUUUGUCAAUUUAACAAAACGUGAAACGGCCCCUUUAAGCUAGACUCUCACAAUGUUUGGGAAUCUAUAAAGACAUGUUGUUUUACGAUAAUAUAAAUAACAUAAACACAUCCGAAACAUAUAUUGAAAUGUGUGUUUGUAAUACAUAAUUGAAAACUGCAAAUCGGAAUUCAAUAAAUCGCUACAACCAGUCAUUCGGAGACUGAGAGUUCUGUUGUUGUCGUUAUAUUUUGUGAGACUACGAGGAUUGCUUAUAUUAAGUAUAACAUGCAUCACUCAUUGUAUGAGCAAGGAUGGACGAGUGGUCUAAUCGUUAGGCUUUUAAUCCAGGGUCCAGUGGUUCGAGCCCAGUUGAGGGUUACUUUCUUCUUUCUUUAAUUGUAUUCUUGUUUUUUUUUACUGGAGCUUUUUAAAUUCAAUGUUUACAUUUAUCAAUAUAAAGUAUUUACAAACUUCAAUAUCUCACAAAAUCUUUUAAAAUGUACCUUUAAAAAAAAUAUGGCUGCCAUGGCAUGUUACAGUUGAACUUACAAUUUUGGCAAAAGUGCAACUUUUUAAAGCAACAUAAUGUUGCUUUUUGUACAUAUGAUUAGAGCUACUAUUAUAGUUGUAACUAGUAUUGUGUGAUGCUGUGUAGUUACUAUCUUUCAUGAUGAUUAUUAUUAUUUUAGUACCAUAUGUUCACUGUUUUCGUUCUUAACCUAACCAAUUAAACUUUCAAAUUAAUUGAUUACAAAAAUAUGUAUAGAACUCUUGCAAGAUUCAUUUAGCUAGACUAUUUCCCGAAAAGUCUUAGCUAUGUUCCUCGCCCAAAAUGUCGGCCUCGGCAUCCAAGUAAUGCUCUGAUAAAGGUAAACGUGAAACAUCACCCUAUCACUGUUCCAACUCAAGGUUUUCAAUUAAAAAAAACCUUAAACAUGUGUUCGGGGUCAUUGAGCGAGGUAACUGAUCAAGUUUCUAUAACUCCAACCUGCAAUGAAGCCGAAUAAUGGCCAUGUUUAGAAAUUUGGUUAAGGUAAACAUGCAACAUAUCUCUAGAUUUACUACAGAUAUUGACAUAACACGUUACAUAUGUAUUCAUGGUUUUAAUUAAGGGACCUUUUCAUGUUUUGGUUUAAUGACAAAAUUGAAAAAAAAAGAUUUGCAAAUGGUUGUUGUUGUUCUGAUAUCUGCGAGGAAACAGUAAUAUCGAACAUUUGCCAUGCUCUAAAAUAUCCAUUAUAUGCAUCUUUUGACGAUUUAAACACCUCAAAAUUAUCAAGCUUACAAACGCGAAACGACAGAAAAAAUUGGAGAGUUCUGGUAUUAUUAUAUUUAGUGUCAUGACGAGAAUUGCUUGUAUUAAGUAUAAAAUACAUCACCCUAUGUGACUUGAUGAAGAUGCUCAAAUCUGUUAUAUAUAUAUUUCUAUCUAAUUAUGUCUUCCUAUGUCACACAACACUAUAUAUCAAGGACCACAAUGGAAAUGAUUGUUUUUCAAACGCUUGUUUGUGUCAUUCCUUGAUAUAUAAUGAUGGUUGUCAUGGCUCCACUUAUGUAUUUGCUUAAGUCAUGCAUGUUUCUUUCUUACUUAAGUACAUGUGUGUGUUAUACUUGAAUUGCCAUGUAUUCUGACAUCAUAUAUUGAAAUAAAUAAAUCAAUCAAUCAA